GACAGCAUAAGUGUAGUGGUUUGAGCAUUGGACUAUGAUUCUGGAAAUCAGGGUUCAAAUCCCUGUGUAGACA